CUGGCGGCACGCCUUAUACAUGCAAGUCGAACGAAGUAGCAAUACUUAGUGGCAGACGGGUGAGUAACAUGUAGGUAUCUUCCCUUUGGUGAGGAAUAACACGAGGAAACUUGUGCUAAUACCUCAUAAGUCUUCACGGAGAAAGCUUUAUGCGCCGAAGGAUGAGCCUGCAAUUGAUUAGUUUGUUGGUGGGGUAAUGGCCUACCAAGACUAUGAUCAAUAGCUGAUCUGAGAGGAUGAUCAGCCACAUUGGGACUGAGACACGGCCCAAACUCCUACGGGAGGCAGCAGUAGGGAAUAUUGCACAAUGGAGGAAACUCUGAUGCAGCGAUGCCGCGUGAGUGAAGAAGGCCUUUGGGUUGUAAAGCUCUUUCGUCGGGGAAGAAAAUGACUGUACCCGAAUAAGAAGGUCCGGCUAACUUCGUGCCAGCAGCCGCGGUAAUACGAAGGGACCUAGCGUAGUUCGGAAUUACUGGGCUUAAAGAGUUCGUAGGUGGUUAAAAAAGUUGGUGGUGAAAUCCCAGAGCUUAACUCUGGAACUGCCAUCAAAACUUUUUAGCUAGAGUAUGAUAGAGGAAAGUAGAAUUUCUAGUGUAGAGGUGAAAUUCGUAGAUAUUAGAAAGAAUACCAAUUGCGAAGGCAGCUUUCUGGAUCAUUACUGACGCUGAGGAACGAAAGCAUGGGUAGCGAAGAGGAUUAGAUACCCUCGUAGUCCAUGCCGUAAACGAUGUGUGUUAGACGUUGGAAAUUUAUUUUCAGUGUCGCAGCGAAAGCAUUAAACACACCGCCUGGGGAGUACGACCG
rnacentral:rRNA from 1 species